GACGAAUGCUGGCUGCGUGCUUAACACAUGCAAGUCGAACGGUGAAGGAGGGCUUGCCCUCCGGAUCAGUGGCGAACGGGUGAGUAACACGUGGGCAACCUGCCCCUCACUCUGGGAUAACGCCGGGAAACCGGCGCUAAUACCGGAUACGACCAGGCGCGACAUCUCGCCUGGUGGAAAGAAUUUCGGUGAGGGAUGGGCCCGCGGCCUAUCAGCUAGUUGGUGGGGUAACGGCCCACCAAGGCGACGACGGGUAGCCGGCCUGAGAGGGCGACCGGCCACACUGGGACUGAGACACGGCCCAGACUCCUACGGGAGGCAGCAGUGGGGAAUAUUGCGCAAUGGACGAAAGCCUGACGCAGCGACGCAGCGUGAGGGACGAAGGCCUUCGGGUUGUAACCCUCUUUCAGCGGGGACGAAGCGAAAGUGACGGUACCCGCAGAAGAAGCACCGGCUAACUCCGUGCCAGCAGCCGCGGUAACAC
rnacentral:rRNA from 1 species